CCUUGUUUCAAACACCUGUAAUCUACGUUCUUCCUUCAAGGUUCCCAGAUUCCACAAAUCGACUCUUUUGUGGACAUGUUCGGAGUCCGUAACCACACCGGGAACCGACGGUUCUUAAUAAUGUUCUCUGACUUUACUCAGCCACUCUGAUAUCGUUUAUUCCCCCACCCCCCGCUAAGGAACGUUUCAACCCCAUGCCAGAAAGAUAGAAUGGUUUCUGCAGGAAUAUACAACAGAGGAGGGGUGUUCGGUAAUCUGAUAGUGCGUUGCGUGGGACAGAGAACAAUUAGCAAAGGACAUUGUCAGUGUAUUACUUACGAAAAGUGAAGUGUUAUAUGAGAACACUCACAUAGUACAAGAACUACAUUACAGCUAUUCACACUUUAAAUGAAAAAAGCCUAUCUCUUUUUUUUACAAGGUGUUCAAAUUUUCAAGUCUUUUUAAUUGGCAUGUACGAAUAAAAAUAAUAAUUAAAAAUGUAUUUCGAAGAAGUAAAUUUUUAUUA